UCUUUCACUUCUUCUCUUCCA
rnacentral:sRNA from 1 species